CUCCCACUUCUCACUAAAAAAAGUUUCAAAAUAGUUUUCCGCUUGGUGACCGGUGGGUUUUGCCGCCGGUUACCAUUUCCUUUAUGUCAAAGUCUUGUUUAAUCUUUUCUUCCAGCAUCGGAGACGUUCUCUGUUUUGUAUGGCUGGCCCAGUCUCUGGCGUCAUCACCUUCUUCUCUGGUGAAGGCGGUCGGCGUUUUGCUUCCGACUACGACCUUAUCAUUUCAGGUGUAGUUGGCUUCUCAGGUUUUUAUCCGAUAUGUGUAACUCGCUGUCUUCGUUUUGAUCGCUUGGUGAUUGGAUGAGAUAUCGAUGGUUGGUGAUUGAUGCUCUUCGAUGUUGGAGCUCAAGCGAUGACGAUGUAUGUGGCGUAGUUUCCGGAUCCGUUGGGUACUGUGCAUGGUGGUUUUAGGAAUUCAGAUGAGAUCUCUAUUCUGUUUUGAUGGAAGCUCUCCGAUGGAAGGAUAAAAGGUGUUGAAGAGAGGUGGUGAAGCUCCUGUCUCCGAGGUAUAUCCGGCGACGGUGUUUGGUUGGCCGGCGGUGAAUUUUUCUGGGCGGCGAAGGUGAAAAGGUUUGAUUGUGAUGUGUGUCUCCUCGUAAUUGAGGGCUUAACAGGCGUUUUUGGUUUCGCGUUUAUAAUCACGUCGGUUUGUCUUUCUUGACGGGCUAGGUAAUAGGAUUAGGGCCCAAGUGGUUUUUGUUUAUUGUAGUUUUCCCGUUUGUUGAGUUUAUGGGUUUGUAUUAUUGGACUUUGGCCAAUUAAAUAAAAUAAGAUGACAAAAAAAUAUAGAAUAUCUGGCCUCUGUUUUAAACUCAAGUUACAUGAUGAUGUGUCAAUUUAAUUGGAUGAGCAUAUAUUUUUGCCUGUAUGCAGGUUAAUUUAAUUGGAUGAGAAUAUGUGGC
rnacentral:lncRNA from 1 species